rnacentral:rRNA from 1 species
GAUGAACGCUGGCGGCGUGCUUAACACAUGCAAGUCGAACGAGAAGUGGAGACGGAAACCUUCGGGCGGAAGACUUUAUUUCGAGUGGCGGACGGGUGAGUAACGCGUGGGUAACCUGCCUCAUACAGGGGGAUAACAGUUGGAAACGACUGUUAAUACCGCAUAAGACCACAGCACCGCAUGGUGCGGGGGUAAAAACUCCGGUGGUAUGAGAUGGACCCGCGUACGAUUAGCCAGUUGGCGGGGUAACGGCCCACCAAAGCGACGAUCGAUAGCCGAGCUGAGAGGAUGACCCGCCACAUUGGGACUGAGACACGGCCCAAACUCCUACGGGAGGCAGCAGUGGGGAAUAUUGCACAAUGGGGGAAACCCUGAUGCAGCGACGCCGCGUGAGUGAAGAAGUAUUUCGGUAUGUAAAGCUCUAUCAGCAGGGAAGAAAAUGACGGUACCUGAGUAAGAAGCCCCGGCUAACUACGUG